AGAACCCCGGCGAGGGGAGUGAAAAAGAACCUGAAACCGUGUACGUACAAGCAGUGGGAGCACCCUUCGGGGUGUGACUGCGUACCUUUUGUAUAAUGGGUCAGCGACUUAUAUUCUGUAGCAAGGUUAACCGAAUAGGGGAGCCGGAGGGAAACCGAGUCUUAAUUGGGCGUUAAGUUGCAGGGUAUAGACCCGAAACCCGGUGAUCUAGCCAUGGGCAGGUUGAAGGUUGGGUAACACUAACUGGAGGACCGAACCGACUAAUGUUGAAAAAUUAGCGGAUGACCUGUGGCUGGGGGUGAAAGGCCAAUCAAACCGGGAGAUAGCUGGUUCUCCCCGAAAGCUAUUUAGGUAGCGCCUCGUGAAUUCAUCUCCGGGGGUAGAGCACUGUUUCGGCUAGGGGGCCAUCCCGGCUUACCAACCCGAUGCAAACUGCGAAUACCGGAGAAUGUUAUCACGGGAGACACACGGCGGGUGCUAACGUCCGUCGUGAAGAGGGAAACAACCCAGACCGCCAGCUAAGGUCCCAAAGUCAUGGUUAAGUGGGAAACGAUGUGGGAAGGCCCAGACAGCCAGGAUGUUGGCUUAGAAGCAGCCAUCAUUUAAAGAAAGCGUAAUAGCUCACUGGUCGAGUCGGCCUGCGCGGAAGAUGUAACGGGGCUAAACCAUGCACCGAAGCUGCGGCAGCGACACUGUGUGUUGUUGGGUAGGGGAGCGUUCUGUAAGCCUGUGAAGGUGUGUCGUGAGGCAUGCUGGAGGUAUCAGAAGUGCGAAUGCUGACAUAAGUAACGAUAAAGCGGGUGAAAAGCCCGCUCGCCGGAAGACCAAGGGUUCCUGUCCAACGUUAAUCGGGGCAGGGUGAGUCGACCCCUAAGGCGAGGCCGAAAGGCGUAGUCGAUGGGAAACGGGUUAAUAUUCCCGUACUUGGUGUUACUGCGAAGGGGGGACGGAGAAGGCUAUGUUGGCCGGGCGACGGUUGUCCCGGUUUAAGCGUGUAGGUGUGUGUUCCAGGUAAAUCCGGUUCACUUUAACACUGAGGCGUGACGACGAGGCACUACGGUGCUGAAGCAACAAAUGCCCUGCUUCCAGGAAAAGCCUCUAAGCAUCAGGUAACAUCAAAUCGUACCCCAAACCGACACAGGUGGUCAGGUAGAGAAUACCAAGGCGCUUGAGAGAACUCGGGUGAAGGAACUAGGCAAAAUGGUGCCGUAACUUCGGGAGAAGGCACGCUGACACGUAGGUGAAGUGAUUUACUCAUGGAGCUGAAGUCAGUCGAAGAUACCAGCUGGCUGCAACUGUUUAUUAAAAACACAGCACUGUGCAAACACGAAAGUGGACGUAUACGGUGUGACGCCUGCCCGGUGCCGGAAGGUUAAUUGAUGGGGUCAGCGCAAGCGAAGCUCCUGAUCGAAGCCCCGGUAAACGGCGGCCGUAACUAUAACGGUCCUAAGGUAGCGAAAUUCCUUGUCGGGUAAGUUCCGACCUGCACGAAUGGCGUAAUGAUGGCCAGGCUGUCUCCACCCGAGACUCAGUGAAAUUGAACUCGCUGUGAAGAUGCAGUGUACCCGCGGCAAGACGGAAAGACCCCGUGAACCUUUACUAUAGCUUGACACUGAACAUUGAGCCUUGAUGUGUAGGAUAGGUGGGAGGCUUUGAAGCGUGGACGCCAGUCUGCGUGGAGCCGACCUUGAAAUACCACCCUUUAAUGUUUGAUGUUCUAACGUGGACCCGU
rnacentral:rRNA from 1 species